GGAAAGGCCUGGCGGAGGCAGAUAAGGCGGCAGAGCACGGGGCGAGGCGUUGCUAGGAGAAGUUGCUAGGGCGGGGCUCGAGGGACCGGCUAUAAAAGGCUGGCGCUGGGUUAGGUUUCGAGCUUCCUGGCCGUAAGCGAUAAGGCUUUAACUGAGAACCACCUUGUGCUGUAGGCUUUGGCCCUUUUCCUCACAUCUGUGUAGUUAUUUUUGGGUCGCGGAGAAUUGUGGCCCGAGAAGGCUCUGCUCCUUGAGAGUGUGGGGAGAGAAGCUGCAGUCCCGGAAGCGGUUUUAGGGGGCCGCUUCCUUGGCCUAGAGGAGCUCCCCAACCCGAGGGGGCAAGGGAAACGACCCCCAGGAGGCCCCUAAACAGUGGCCGGCGUGGUUUCUCCUCCAGCUUUACAGAGCCUUCUCUUCCCCUCCAGAAACAGCCAACCUCCGGGUUUCUGCCUGCCACGCACGGUUUAUUCUUAUUUCCGCCUGUUUGUGCACUGCGUUAUCUCCACUUCAGCUCUGUUUUCAAAAUAUUUCACAGCAAGUGGGCUCUUGUGAAAGGCAGUGACAGGAGUGACGUUUAUAGUCAUGCUGCUUCAAAAAACCCUACCAUAACUUUUAUUCUGCACCAUGGAAACACACUCGGACAGAUUUGCAUAACGUAACCUUAAGGCUCAGGGAAUCCGAAAGAGUCCCUUAAUAUUUAACAGAAUGAGAUUAUGGUAUUUCUAAAACCCUGAACAAUUCAAAAGCCACCAGUGUGAAGAUAGGAAGGUUAUUUGGAGAUAUCUGUGCCUGCUAAACACAAAUGCAUCGGCCCACAGAAUUGCCUUCUCUGCUGUUAAAAUGCUUGGCAAAUGGAACUCCUAGCUGAGGGGGUAACAACAAAAAAUUCAGAAAUCGUUUAGCGGUGGCAGUAUGUGCGAAAAUGGAAUUUCAAGGCCUGGGAAGUUAAUAGAUUCAGUGGUCUUUAUUUCACACACGAGGGAAAGUUGGGGAGAGAAAGGGCCUCCAUGGGGAUGCCAGUAGAUAAAUAAAAAUUACAAAAAAAAAAAUAAUAAAGAUAGAUUGUACUGGCCGGGCGCGGUGGCUCAUGCCUGUAAUCCAGCACUUUGGGAGACUGAGGCGGGCGGAUCUCGAGGUCAGGAGUUCGAAACCAGCCUCACCAACAUGGUGAAACCCCAUCUCUACUAAAAAUACAAUAAUUAGCCGGGCGUGGUGGUGCGCGUCUGUAAUCCCAGCUAUUCAGGAGGCUGAGGCAGGAGAAUCGCUUGAACCCGGGAGGCAGAGGUUGCAGUGAGCUGAGAUCGUGCCAUCGCACUCCAGCCUGGGCGACAGAGAGAGUCUCCGUUUCAGAAAAAAAAGAUAUAUUGUACCUAGGAAGCAGUAUUUCGGAAAGGUGGUGCCAUGGCAACCCUGGGGCGUGAAGGUGUCGCCAGGUUACAUGUAAGCCGUCCAAACUCCAGAAACCUCAAGUCCCUCUGCAGUCUGCUCCCCAGCUCUCUGUCCUCCAGGUUCCUGAAAAAGUAAUCUACAGAUCUGAGCCUUAAGCCUCUUCUUUUUUUAUUUGUGAUUUCUUCCUUCUGGUGAUCAAAAAUGACUAUUUCAAAUAAAUAAAUAAUUUUUUUAAAUGACCAUUUCAAAGGUCUGAGAUCCUACAAGUAACUGUAUAAAGAUGGAGUCUUGCUCUGUCAUCCAGGCUGGAGUGGAAUGGCUUGAUCUCAGCUCACUGCAACCUCUGUCUCGUGCGUUCAUGUGAUUCUCCUGCCUCAGCCUCCCAAGUAGCUGGGAUUACAGCCUUUGAAUACAGACAACCUACAUCAUUCUGAAUAAGAAGUGCAGGAAAAGAGGGAUGAGAGGGAGGGAACUUGACAGAGAGACACCAGGAUAAAAAAGGUGAGGACAUUCAACUUUCGCCAACACAUCUGAG
rnacentral:lncRNA from 1 species